GUAGGGUCCAAGCGUUAAUCGGAAUUACUGGGCGUAAAGCGUGCGCAGGCGGUUGUGUAAGCCAGAUGUGAAAUCCCCGGGCUUAACCUGGGAAUGGCAUUUGGGACUGCACGGCUAGAGUACGGCAGAGGGGACUAGAAUUCCUGGUGUAGCAGUGAAAUGCGUAGAUAUCAGGAGGAAUACCGAUGGCGAAGGCAGGUCCCUGGGUCGAUACUGACGCUCAUGCACGAAAGCGUGGGGAGCAAACAGGAUUAGAUACCCUGGUAGUCCACGCCCUAAACGAUGUCAACUGGUUGUUGGGGAAUUCAUUUCCUUAGUAACGAAGCUAACGCGUGAAGUUGACCGCCUGGGGAGUACGGUCGCAAGAUUAAA
rnacentral:rRNA from 1 species